AACGAACGCUGGCGGCAGGCCUAACACAUGCAAGUCGAGCGGACCCUUCGGGGUUAGCGGCGGACGGGUGAGUAACGCGUGGGAAUAUGCCCUUCUCUACGGAAUAGUCCUGGGAAACUGGGGGUAAUACCGUAUACGCCCUUUGGGGGAAAGAUUUAUCGGGGAAGGAUUAGCCCGCGUUGGAUUAGGUAGUUGGUGGGGUAAUGGCCUACCAAGCCGACGAUCCAUAGCUGGUUUGAGAGGAUGAUCAGCCACACUGGGACUGAGACACGGCCCAGACUCCUACGGGAAGCAGCAGUGGGGAAUCUUAGACAAUGGGGGCAACCCUGAUCGAGCCAUGCCGCGUGAGUGAUGAAGGCCUUAGGGUUGUAAAGCUCUUUCAGCUGGGAAGAUAAUGACGGUACCAGCAGAAGAAGCCCCGGCUAACUCCGUG
rnacentral:rRNA from 1 species